rnacentral:rRNA from 1 species
UUUUAUGGAGAGUUUGAUCCUGGCUCAGGAUGAACGCUGGCGGCGUGCCUAAUACAUGCAAGUCGAGCGAACGGACGAGAAGCUUGCUUCUCUGAUGUUAGCGGCGGACGGGGGAGUAACACGUGGAUAACCUACCUAUAAGACUGGGGUAACUUCGGGAAACCGGAGCUAAUACCGGAUAAUAUUUUGAACCGCAUGGUUCAAAAGUGAAAG